rnacentral:rRNA from 1 species
CUAAUACCGGAUAAGAAAGCGGAUCGCAUGAUCAGCUUUUAAAAGGCGGCGUAAGCUGUCGCUAUGGGAUGGCCCCGCGGUGCAUUAGCUAGUUGGUAAGGUAAAGGCUUACCAAGGCGAUGAUGCAUAGCCGAGUUGAGAGACUGAUCGGCCACAUUGGGACUGAGACACGGCCAAACUCCUACGGGAGGCAGCAGGCG